UAUCUCAAAUGGUAAAGAAUCUGCCUGCAAAGCAGGAGACUCAGGUUCGAUCCCUGG
rnacentral:tRNA from 1 species